CCUACGGGAGGCUGCAGUGGGGAAUAUUGGACAAUGGGGGCAACCCUGAUCCAGCCAUGCCGCGUGUGUGAAGAAGGCCCUCGGGUUGUAAAGCACUUUCAGUGAGGAAGAACGCCUGGUGGUUAAUACCCAUCAGGAAAGACAUCACUCACAGAAGAAGCACCGGCUAACUCCGUGCCAGCAGCCGCGGUAAUACGGAGGGUGCGAGCGUUAAUCGGAAUUACUGGGCGUAAAGCGCGCGUAGGUGGCUUGAUAAGCCGGUUGUGAAAGCCCCGGGCUCAACCUGGGAAUGGCAUCCGGAACUGUCAAGCUAGAGUGCAGGAGAGGAAGGUAGAAUUCCCGGUGUAGCGGUGAAAUGCGUAGAGAUCGGGAGGAAUACCAGUGGCGAAGGCGGCCUUCUGGACUGACACUGACACUGAGGUGCGAAAGCGUGGGUAGCAAACAGGAUUAGAUACCCUGGUAGUC
rnacentral:rRNA from 1 species